UACUAAACCUGAUCGAAGCGAACAUAGCCGUUCUUUGCCGAACAAUCGGCAAUGACUUACACGGGUAUAAAGCGUAGAGCAGGACUGAAG
rnacentral:sRNA from 1 species